UUCAACCAGAGAGAGUAGUUGAGCACGACAAACAACAACCAGUAUGCGUCCUUGAAAUGCACCCUUAGGGGAGGACAUGCAGGAAAUGUAUAAAAGCACACCGUGUCAUGUUCAGAGGCCUUGCUGGUUUGAGGUCAAGGCAGUUUAUUGGCAGUGUCUCAUAAGCUGACUGUCUUCAGGUAGUAAUUUGUGUUUCUAUUUAUGUAAAUGCAGUGGUUAACUGUUCUCUCAUACCAUCAGAACUACGGUGUUUUUUUUUCAGUUUUUCUGGUCCUCUUGUGAACUUGGUCAGCAAUCUCUGAAAGCACUGAAUUUCUGAAAGCACUGAAUUUCUGAAAGCUAUCUAGCAGAGGUAACAGAUCUAAGAAGUAAUUUGUGUACCCUUGAUAAUGUCUUUGCCAAACAAACCUAAUCCUGUAAGCUUUAAUUAACUUUGCUUUUAUUUUAUCUGCCUCUGUACUGUUCUUCAAUGGGCCUAAACUGUCUAAUGUUUAAAUGUAAAGGUUUUUUUUUUUGCCAAGGUGUUGUCUGGUCCAUAGCAUUGCUCAGAACUGUUGAACCAACUCAAUAGGAGGCCGGUCACCAACCUGUGUUCUCUUCAUUAAACAGUGGGAUGGUAGUUAUUUUACCUUAUCAUUUAUCAGAUGCUCAAAUCCAGGGACUUACAGUAGUGCAUUAAGAGGGCUAGGAGGACAACCAUCUCAAUCAUAGUAAGUACAAUUUUCCUCAAGUAGUAAUCAGCCAAGUCUGCUAUGGAGAGGGGAGGGGUGGAGAGUAUUUAUUCACGAUGACCCUACUAGUUGGCAGGCGUUGCUACAGUAUACUAUG